rnacentral:lncRNA from 1 species
UGAGGCGGUGGAGGAAACGAUGAGGGUGAAAAGAAGUUACAUGAAAAAUAAAAAAUCAGAUAGAAAGAAAAAGAAGAUGAUGAAGUUACACUAUUUUAGAGGAACGUUGCACUGUUUUAAAGAAAACUUAUACUAUUUAAAAGAAAAAUUAAACUUUUCUGAAUAAAAAUUGCACUAUUUGAAAGAAAGUUGCACUUUUUAGACGAAAAUUACAUCAUUUCUCUUCUUCUUCCUCCUUCUUCUUUAUUUUCGUGUGGAUGAGAAAAAAUAGUGUAAUUUUUGCUUAAAGACUGUAAGUUUCAUUCAAAGAGUGCAACUUUCAUUCAGAAAAGUGUAAUUUUUUUAAAACAGUGCAAUGUUCUUUUGAAACAGUGCAUUUUCAUCAUCUUCUUCUUUUCUCUCUGAUUCUUUAUUUUUUUUAGAAAAAUAAUAUUUUUUUUAUAUUUUAUUCUUUAUUUUUUUUAUUUUAUUUAUUUUUUAUAUUUUUUUCUU